rnacentral:ncRNA from 1 species
CAGCACUCCGUAAGGAGUAACUGGACUACACGCUCUUGUGCAGUGGCCUUUGGUGACAUGGUUAUAAAACUUUCAACAUGAACACGUUCCAUAGUUGAUAAUUACAGCUACAACAGCAAACUUUCGAGUUUGUGUGAAGUGGCAGUG